rnacentral:rRNA from 1 species
GACAGAGGUUGCAAACGUUGUUCGGAAUCACUGGGCAUAAAGCGCACGUAGGCGGCUGACUAAGUCGGAUGUGAAAUCCCUCGGCUUAACCGGGGAACUGCGUCUGAUACUGGUCGGCUUGAGAACGGUAGGGGUGAGCGGAACUCCAGGUGGAGCGGUGAAAUGCGUAGAUAUCUGGAGGAACACCGGUGGCGAAAGCGGCUCACUGGACCGUCACUGACGCUGAGGUGCGAAAGCUAGGGUAGCAAACGGG